UACAGAGGGUGCGAGCGUUGUCCGGAAUCACUGGGCGUAAAGGGCGCGUAGGCGGUCUGGUAAGCGUGUGGUGAAAGCCCGGGGCUCAACCCCGGGUCGGCCAUGCGAACUGCGAGACUGGAGCCGAUCAGAGGCAGGCGGAAUUCCGGGUGUAGCGGUGGAAUGCGUAGAGAUCCGGAAGAACACCGGUGGCGAAGGCGGCCUGCUGGGAUCGAGCUGACGCUGAGGCGGCGACAGCGUGGGGGAGCAAACAGGG
rnacentral:rRNA from 1 species